rnacentral:rRNA from 1 species
UUUUGGACAAUGGGCGCAAGCCUGGUCCAGCCAUGCCGCGUGAGUGAAGAAGGCCUUCGGGUUGUAAAGCUCUUUCGCAAGGGAAGAAAACUUACUUUCUAAUAAAGAGUGAGGUUGACGGUACCUUGAUAAGAAGCACCGGCUAACUACGUGCCAGCAGCCGCGGUAAUACGUAGGGUGCGAGCGUUAAUCGGAAUUACUGGGCGUAAAGCGUGCGCAGGCGGCUUUGUAAGUCAGAUGUGAAAUCCCCGAGCUCAACUUGGGAACUGCGUUUGAAACUACAAGGCUAGAAUAUGUCAGAGGGGGGUAGAAUUCCACGUGUAGCAGUGAAAUGCGUAGAGAUGUGGAGGAAUACCAAUGGCGAAGGCAGCCCCCUGGGAUAAUAUUGACGCUCAUGCACGAA